rnacentral:rRNA from 1 species
UCCAUUCAUUAUUUUGACACAGCCACACUCACAUCUUUAAUCCUUUUUUCACAAUAGUGACCAACAAAGCUAUACACAGUGAACUCCAUCCUAUGAAAAAAUAGAGUGUGAGUCGUGCGGGGCACCUAGCCGAACUAGACCAUAUCUUAUGCAGUGCACUGCAACACACAUCUAGAGAACUGCAAAAACUAUUCACAAGCGCACUGCGACAGGGAACAAAAUAAGCCAAAACAAACUGUGCAGCCAUUUGCGCCAGAAUGCAAGCUCGCUGCCUAGCUGACUGCAUGCUGCACAUGACUGUUGAAAUGCCCCCGCACUUUGCCGCUGGGGGCGUAGCUGCGCGGUGGAGAUUGAGGGUUGGCCUCGCCCUUUUUUCCACCUUCUAUCGCUGCUCUGCAAAAACAAAGGGAACUGCACACGCACGAACUGGGAGCGGAUGAACAAUAGUGAACUUCACAUGCACGAAGAAAGAACUUGAGCCACGGAUCGGCAAGCAGGUGGGCGAGGCAAGACAGGGCCGCGGCGGAUCCGGACAUUGGAGGGGUGGAUCGGGCCGCGGCGACCGACAGGAGGUCGUCGGAUGUAGCCGGUGCGCCCGCUUUUUUUGCAGCAGGAGAAGGUACGAUGCGGCGGGCGGAUCUAGUAGGAGGUCCAGCGGGUCACCGGAGUAGGAGGCAGGCGCAGCCGGCGAAGCAUCGCUGCACCUGCACCAGGCGGCGGCAGGGCUUCCCUAUUGCCAGAUCCAAAGCAGCAGAAGAAGGCGACGGUGGAUCCGGCGAGCCGGGACAGGCGAUGGAGGCCGGGGCGGGCGGCGCGGGUGGUCCUUGGAGCGGGCGGCGCUCGGUGCUGGCCGGGACGGGGU